AGUAUAUUUUAUUUUUAAUUUAAUUUAAUUUUAUUUUAAUUACCUUGAUAACGGUAGUAGGUAUAACUACCGAAACGUUGGUUCAAAUUAGGUAUUUUUAAAAAAAAGUAGGUCUUCUUGUUGUUUUUAUCGUUUUUUAAUUGUAAUAUUCAUAACAAAGUUAGGUAGGAUAUUGAAAAGAAGAAACGAGCUUAGAGAUUAAUAGAUUGAACCUCAGCUCCUAGGUAUAUAAAAAAUUUAUUAUACCUCAAGUAAACUAUUGUAUUUAAAACUUAUUGAACUUAAAUUAAAUUAAGUAUAUCGAACGGUAUCGUUACAGAUUUAAGUUCAUAUUUCUAUUAAAUACGUUAAAAAGUCUAUUUUCUUCUUCUUUUCAAUUUUUGAGUGUGUGAGAUAAAAAUUUCUAAAUUGAUUUUUGCUAUAAGUGACGUAAUACCCAAUAUAAUAAAUAACUCAUUAUGUAUGUUUUAGUUAGUAAGCAUUUUGGGGUUUUGAUUAUAUUGAAUUACUAUUAACAAUAGACAUAGUAUUUUACCUUAAAACAAAAAUGAACAUACUUCUAAAUUAAUGAAAAACCCUUAAUCAAUACCUUUUUAUCACAUGGCGACCCUGCCUUUUGAACCAUAUAGUAUAGUAAAGUAAAAGUGAUUAAAGAAAAAUGGGAAAAUCACAGAGCAAGGAGGAAAUUAUAAUAGCUCAAGCAGGAAAUAGUGGUGGACAAACCAAUAGUCCCAGCACACAUGUUUUUGGCUCGAUCCAGGAUAUUUUAAUCAUUGCUAUUUUUGGGCUUUUGGCACUGUUCCUUGGGUGGUUUUUAUAUACAAAAGUAAAGAAAACGAUGCUAAGAAGGAUGCGUGCAGAAAUAAGAGAGGAAAUUGGAAGAAGCCGAGAACGAGUCUAAAGGGAAGACUUUUAGGAAACAUUUUAGGUUUUUUUUUCUUUUAGGUUGCAAAAGAAUUAUUGUUCAAUACACCAGUAUUUAUGACUAAUAUAACAUGGAAUGUCGGUGCCCACGGAAUUUAUAUAUUUACUAGAUGAAGUUAAGGUAUUUAAGAGGAAUUUAAUAAAGAACAAUUUAAAAAAGAGACAAAAGGAGAAAUAUAACCUACGUUAAGUCAUGAUAUCAAAAUAGAGUCCUCAACUUUCCAUUUUUCCAGUGAAGAAACAUUUGAGGAAUGGUUAAGAGAGCAUAGAAUAAGCACAAACUAUGCACUUGUUCGCACAAGGAAAAUUGAAGACAAGAUUAAAAAAGUAUAUUGUUGCAAUCGAAGUGAUCUUAGAGGUAAUUUGUAGCAAUUUCAAUUGUUCAUUAUGGUAUGUGAGCAAAGGAAGGGAAGCGAUUCUGUUUUAGGUGAACUCCUCGGGCAAUGUUCUUUCAAUAAUAUUGAAGCUAGCCAUAGUCUAGAAGUUGAAACAUUUGUUAAUGAAAAGACAACUAAAAAUCAACAAGUAGCAGUACAACGAUUGAACAAGCAAUCAACAAGAGAAAUUGAAAGUGUAUCAAACUUUUUAAGAUCUUUAAAUGAUGAAACUUAUGAUAAGUGCAUGAGACAACUGACAUCAAUGAUGGAACAGAUAAAUAAUACAAAUACACAAGUAAACGAAAAAUGGACAAACAGGUUUAUUUUCCAUCAAAGAAGAAGAAGGAGCAGUAAAUAAAAAUAAUUAAAUGUAUAUUUUUUCUAUUUAUCAGUAUUUUUUUUUAUAUAAUAGUAGGUAUAUUUUUAUAGGUUUAACUAUAUAUGUAUGUAUAUGUGUAUUAUAAUUUUUUAUGUAAGUUUUAGGCAAAUAUUUGAAGUAAAUAUUUUAAGUUUCUUGCAGUUUCUUCUUAUGAGUAUUAAUCGAAACUGCGAAUUGUAAAUUAGUAUUUUAGCAUAAAAUAAUUAAGUUUCUUUUCAAAUCAGUCAUAAACAUGUCUUUGCAGCAUUUAUAAAAUAAAAAUUGUUAAUAUAUGAUA